GACGAACGCUGGCGGCGUGCUUAACACAUGCAAGUCGAACGGAGUGGAGAACGGGUGAGUGACACGUGGGUGAUCUGCCUUGCACAACGGGCUAUGAUUGGUGGACUGGGUCUAGUACCGGAAUGUGCAAGAUGAGCUUGCGGCCUAUCAGCAUGUUGGUGGGGUAAUGGACUACCAAGGCGUCGACGGGUAGCCGGCCUGAGAGGGUGUACGGCCACAGUGGGACUGAGAUACGGCCCAUACUCCUACGGGAGGCAGCAGUGGGGAAUAUUGCACAAUGUGCGGAAGCCUGAUGCAGCGACGCCGCGUGGGGGAUGACGGCCUUCGGGUUGUAAACUCCUUUCGACAGGGACGCGGUACCUGUAUAAGAAGCACCGGCUAACUACGUGCCAGCAGCCGCGGUAAUUC
rnacentral:rRNA from 1 species